rnacentral:rRNA from 1 species
UACGUAGGGGGCAAGCGUUGUCCCGGAAUCAUUGGGCGUAAAGAGCGCGCAGGCGGCUUGGCAAGUCGGGUGUGAAAUCCCGGGGCUCAACCCCGGUGACUGCAUCCGAUACUGUCAGGCUAGAGGUAGGUAGGGGAGAUCGGAAUUCCUGGUGUAGCGGUGAAAUGCGCAGAGAUCAGGAAGAACACCUAUGGCGAAGGCAGCACUCUGGGACGGUACUGACGCUGAGCCACGAAAGCCAGGGGAGCGAACGGG